CCUGAAACUCGCUUUCACAGAGGUACAGUAUGUAUAUUUAGGAGUCCACCCAGGCGUACAUCAGAUCAGCUCUGUCAACAUCACGAGAAAGAUAACUUGGGUGCAUGUUAUUGAACUUACUGAAAUUUACUUUUUUACAGUGACUUUUAAAAGAUUUAAAGAGCACAGGAGAUACAAAAGAGAAAAAACAAACAGGAGUGGAACUGAAGAAGAGAGGAAAAUUAAAGAAAAAAGAAGACUCUACACGUCAGAAGGCACUUGACAAAGGCCUGAUCCAGGAGACUAGUCAUGGAGGAGGAUUACAGGAAACCACCACCGCUUUAUGAAGAAGUUAUUACCCAGCAGCACACGAGCAACACUAGUCAGAGCCGCUCCGCUGAUAACAGGCAGGGCUGCUGCUGCAGGUGCUGUAUUAGCACCAAGAACUGUCUGAUGAGUCCGGAGUGCGGUCGAGCUCUUAGCAUCGCCAAUGUGAUUGCCAUGUGUGGCAUGUGCAUUCGAAUGUUUGUCUAACACAGUCUCCUGUGGACCAUCUAUUCCAGUUCUCUCAACCAGUGGUGGCCUUCUCAAAUUAAAAGGGAAACAAAGACAUUUGCUCUGUUCCAAAACCUAGUGAUCUGCAACAUUUAUAAGCUCCCCUGCAAUACGAAUCCCAAUGCUGUUCCAAAAAGAAUGCAGCACUGCAUGUAUCAUUCAGCUAACUGACUAAAGUUUCACCUUUACGAUAUGUGUUUUCUUUUUGGAAGACAAUAGCAGACAAUAGAGUUAAACAGUUGUAUUACUAUUUUCUCUUUAAUCCAAGUCGCCUAUGUUUAUCCAGAGCUUCAUACAAUACUAAACAGGAAAGAAACAGAAUCAGUGACGCAAACCUCAUCAAAUAUAAUGGAAAGCAGCUCUAACAAGACAUUUCUAAAAUAGUUGCAGUCAUUUGGAAACGACAAUAAAUCUCUUUUUUUUCAUAAAUUGGAGCCA
ensembl:lncRNA